rnacentral:lncRNA from 1 species
GUGAGGGCAAUUACCCCACUCCCCGAAUACGUGGGAAAAAAAUGACAGGCAGCUGGGAUCACAUCCUUUUAUGUCUUUAUUUGCCAGUUAAGAUCCUUUUAUUCCAUCGAUGCAAAUAUGCAGAACAACAGGAAACCAUGAUUUAAGCAGCACAUACCAGUUGGCUGAGAAUAAACUAACUACAUUCCCCAAGCAAUGUAAAAGUAACAAUGCACAUCAUCUUCCAGAAGAAGAAACAAACAGAUAUUGCAGCCGAGAGGCACAGCAGGCAGCUUCCGUACAAAGUAGUUUGGCUGUUUAAAAUGCUGGAACCGGCCCUCACCGUCCCUCCAACCCCACCCCCCCCCACCACCCCAAAAAGUCCUACUAUAAUUUAAACACUUCUUUUUUUUUUUUGUGGCUUUUUGUUUUGUUUUGUUGUUUUGCUAUCUACAUAAUAUAUAAAAUAUAAACUCUGUUUACUUAUAACACUUACUUUUCUUGAUAAAUAGCUCUUUAAAAUAUCUACUGUACAUAUGUCCAUGCGUUGACAUUUUAUAUAUAUAUAUAUAGCAUUUAUAUAUACGUAUGUAUGUCUGAAAAACAAUAAAUAUAUACUUAAUAUUGACACACAGCAACAAACUGAACAUACUCUCAUUUUCAAAAUCAAAUAAAACCAGUACAGAGAGAAACAGUGAGUGUCAUUUGUGAAGCACGGCACAGCAGGGAGUUUCGAUUCCUGCCCUAGCGGGGGCAUCAGGUAUGCCAUGUACUUGAGCGGUUGUGUUGUUAACACCUUCCGUAAUGGAUUUGUGUCAUAAGUUACUUCAAGUCAUACGUUAGCCACCCUGUAUGCCAUGUGUAACACAGACUGGGAGCAAACCCAGGGGGAAACGGGGAGACCCGCCUCUUGACUCGCAACGGAAUGAAAGAAGGGGAGGUAAGCGAGUCUGAUGGAUGGUGUGAAAAGAAAAGAGAGUAAUGGAUGGCUGCAAGGUCAUAAAUAACCACAGUAAACACAUUAAUAGUUUUAAGUGCUUUUAGAGACGACGGCUGGCACUGCUGCAAACAGUAUUUUGAUUAUCUACAGACAACACCAUGCAAUGAGCCAGUUUUCCCUUUGCCGCAAGAAGAUACAAAUGAAACCCACACGGCCAAAUUGAAAUGCUGGAAGGGGGUCACUGCGUGACACUGCGAGGAUGCAGGUUGAGAGCUGGACCUGCCCUUGGUAUCCACCAAACAGAAAAUGAUGAAUAAAAGCUAUUUCAGUUUGACCCACGCUGAUACCCAUCACUCUCCAACCCCACUGCUUUGACUUGGCAGCUCUGAAUAAGUCAUUACUUGCCUGGGCUCUGGCUUCAUACACUCAGUAAGUCAUGGGGUUAUGACACUGGUUCAUGAACGCAGCAUUAUGUACAGUCCUGUCUACUGAAAAUUUCUUCUUUUCAUGAGCAAAUGGAAGUGGGCGGUUAUUGUGAAGGGGAAGAUGUUUUUACUGGACGUGCUCCAUCCAGCAGCUCAAGAGAGUGGAAAUUUUAAAGCAGAUACAACUGCCAAUGAUUAUUCGGUCGCACAUCAUCUCUAAAAUUUACAAAGCUCUGCUCCCCACAAGUAACAACUUCAAUAACAAGAAGCUGCCAUCCUGAACAAUCCUGCCAUUUCACAACCAGUCCUGAAUACCCAGAGAGUGCUGCAGAGGUCAAACAGCCCAGUGCUGUGCUUUGUAUGUACUUAAGGGUACAUCACUGGGCCGCUGGACCGCCAAGCCAACGUGUUAAGUAUCUGCACAAAGCCAAACAUCUGCUGGGCGCAUUCAGACCUUUGUAAAUACACAACUUAACAGUGAAGAGACCUCACAAUUCGUGAUACUUUAUAGUGAAGGUAAGAGAACUAAGUCAAAUUUAAACAUUCCCAGAAACAAAAACAUGUCAUCAGUAAUUUCUGAAUCUCUGCAAGGACACCAUCAAGCUACUACGUUUAUCUUUACCCAUGAAAUAAAAUCAGCUUUUUUUUUUUUUUUUUUGGUAGAGAAUCGUUUUAAUUGGUCUGGGUCUUUUCCACUUUUGUAUGCACGCAGAAAUAAACGAGGUAACAGAAACUGAAUUGUCCUUGUGCUGUGAUUGCACACAGCAGAAAAGCCUCCUUCUUUGAAUGGCUGAACUCCCAGGACAGCUGUUCACCUGCACAGUCAUCAUGAUUUGAAAGCUAUUCAAAAGAAGGAAACACGAAGUGCAAAGUGGAGAGUGCCUCUGAUUGCCCCGUGCUGGCUGGGCAGGAAUUUCUCAUGCUUUCAGCCAAAGCCAAGGAUGAACUCCGCAAAAGUCCAUCCUGAGCCUAAACAUGUCUACGCAAGCCCUGAUUCUCUGCCUUAUUGGCUGCAUGGGUAAGGACACACCGUCUCUACUCAGUAUUUUUUAUCUACACAGCUAAAGUACUACUAAUUUAACACAUGCACAAUAUUAGAUAUAGGAAAACCCAAAGCUCUUGCAGAGGUCUUACACCUCCAUGCAGGACUUCACUGAGGUCAGCACUGAGGCUGUGCACGCACCUAGCAGGAGCACAGGGACACGGGGAAGGGUUGCCCUACUACCCCUGGUGUGGAGCCCAAUCUGAUUCCCAUCGAAAACAAGGCAUCAUCUUUCAGCUGACCAUCCCAGCACUGGAAGAGGCUCCUACAAAGCAGAAGAGAACUUCACCCCCGAUCUCCCCUUUGGCUCUUUUCGUCUUUGGCAACAGACCAUAACGUUCAGUAUCCUAUGUGCACAGGUAGAUGGCAAAGGAAAGAGCCUCUCAACAGCAGCCGUGGGGACAAGGAAUUAACAUUUAUCAUCUAGUGUAUGAACAAGCUCAUUUGGGGCUACUGUAAAUUCCAGCAGCAGCCUCAGUUUGGCUAUUAGGCCUGCACCAAGUCUAGCAGUGUUCAUCUCACACAUUGUGGCACAGCAUUAAAGAACAGCAUUAAAAGUGCAAUUCCAAACGUAUGUUCCCUGGUGUGGUACCGCUUCGGAGUUCAAUCAAGUACAUCUCUUCUAACUGCUGCCCAAAUUCUCUAAGCCGGCAGGAACUACAGAGGCUACUUAGGACAAUCCAAUGUACUUUUCAGCUGUACCAAAAGAGCAGAGGGCUUUAUACUGCCAAGGAAGAUCCCAGACUGUAAAGUAACAUUUAUUUUUAGACCAGUAGGACAUAUUCUAUAAAUAAACCAAUUCCUGGCUCCUCUAAGCCAGGUGGAAGUUAAGUAUCUUUACAUUCGGAACUACAGCAUCUUUGCCUCCUAGAGAAUGGAAAAACUGUAAUACAAUCCUGAACAUAUGCAGUCACUGCUGCUGUCCCAGUUAGCUAACAGUCCACCUCAAUCUAGCCUAAGAUCUGUGCUGCUGUCAGAAAAGGAGG